rnacentral:tRNA from 1 species
ACAUUGGUGGUUCAGUGGUAGAACUCUUGUCUUCCACAUGGUACUCAGGUUUGAUUCCUGGCCAACACA